rnacentral:rRNA from 1 species
UGGGGAAUAUUGCACAAUGGGCGAAAGCCUGAUGCAGCGACGCCGCGUGAGGGAUGACGGCCUUCGGGUUGUAAACCUCUUUCAGUAGGGACGAAGCGCAUGUGACGGUACCUGCAGAAGAAGCACCGGCUAACUACGUGCCAGCAGCCGCGGUAAUACGUAGGGUGCGAGCGUUGUCCGGAAUUACUGGGCGUAAAGAGCUCGUAGGCGGUUUGUCACGUCGUCUGUGAAAUCCUAGGGCUUAACCCUGGACGUGCAGGCGAUACGGGCUGACUUGAGUACUACAGGGGAGACUGGAAUUUCUGGUGUAGCGGUGGAAUGCACAGAUAUCAGGAAGAACACCGAUGGCGAAGGCAGGUCUCUGGGUAGUAACUGACGCUGAGGAGCGAAAGCAUGGGUAGCGAACAGG